CAGCAAUACUAAACUGAUACACAAAGGAUCCCCGUACUUCAUCAAAAUAUCAAUGUUGUCCAUGACACACAAAGAACCCAGCUGUAGUUUAAUUCAGCAUCACAGUCCCAACAUGUUUUAAAACAUGUUCCAGCUUUUGGUCCCAGGAUUAUUCAACCUAGCUCAUAAAAGAAAACAAUAUUGCAUUUCUAAGUAUUGGCUCCUAGAAUUGGCAAGUUUAGUCAAGAAAAGCUGGAAUGCCGUUAAAACAACACCCUGUCAUCUUUCAAUCAGUCCUUAGCUGAAGUUAAAAUCCCACUCAUUCUGCAUGAUCCAGCCUCUGUAGCAUAGAGUGAGUAGCCCCUUAACAAGAACCAAAAUGGAGGGUACGGAUGAGGCUCAGAUCGUCACCACCUGGAGAAUAGAGACAGUGACUGAGUCACCAGGAAAUCUGUCCCCUGCUCAUCCCAGAAUCCCCGAGCUUUGACUUUUUAAGAGAACAUGUGACAGAUAAUGCCAUCUGAGAAGGU
rnacentral:lncRNA from 10 species